UAGGGGUGGAGGAACUAAGGAGAAAAGGGUGUGUAUCUCUCAAAGGGCCUAAACAAAAGAGAAUAGGUUCAGAGACAGGAACCUCUUGAGGUUCAUUAGGGAUCCCUACUAUUUGAACUGCCUUAGUGCUCCAAGGUAGAAACCAUUUUAUUGUAGUGGGGUUGAGCAUCAAGAGUGUGGCUCUGGUGUCAGGGCUGGAAAAGAUUUAUCCUUAAUCUGGAGAAAUGUUCUUCAAGAUAAUUAAGAGGGAGGGAUUGGGAAUAGCCCUUAUAGUUCCUUUGAAUCCUAUCAUUGAGAAUUGGGAGGAUGUUGGAUAGACAAGUUAGAAGGCUGAAGGCACCUGAAGUGCUUAAAUUGGUAACCAAUCUCUUUUCUGAUAUCCUGGCUCUUUGCAAUAAUAGCAGAAACUAGGAGGGUUUUGGUUUUGUUUAGGGGCCUCCAUUUGCUGGAGUUGAAGAUCAAGAAUUUUAGCAGUUUUCCUUUUAUGUGACUCAUCUAGAGUGUAAGAGAGCUGGUUUGCCAGAUUAACUAAAUCUGGAGUGGACAAAGUUUCCCAUUCCAUCCUCGUCCUUUUUACUAGAAGAGAAAAACCCUGGUUCAGCCCACUAAUAAAAAUAGAAUUGAAAGCUACCCAGGAAGAACAACAUCUGAGGGAAGAUUAGAAUUUUCCUUAAACACAUUCUGAAGUUGAUCAUAAUAGUCAUAAACAGGUUCAUUAAGUUUUUGUGUGCAAGCCUGAAUUUUGUUCCAAUCAACAGGCUUUGGAAAAGCACUAUGAAUUGCUCUAUAAAGUCACUUAGCGAUUGCCUGAGCUUGAUUGGUAAAUAGGCUGGUCUCCCAGUUGUAAUUCUAGAGACCUUUCAGGAUUUCCCCAGUUGGUGAUUUUCAUCCAAAGCUGGGCCUGGCCUUCACUGACAAGCAUAUGAACUAGCUGAUUUAAGUCAGAGUUGAUAAGUCUGAAUGACUAUAUUAAAUUCCUCAGCAUAUCUGUAAGGAUUUCAGUUACUUUGGGAAAAUCUUUGACUAUAGCUUUGCAGUUCCACUUUAGUCCAGGGGAUAUAAAAAAAUUAAGAGUUUAGUCUCUGGAUCCUCACAAGGCUUAAUUUUAGAGAGACAGGUUCUGGUAAGUUCAGAGGAAAUGGCAGUGGGGAGAGUUUCAGAGAAAAGGGCAAGUUUGGUGAGAGAAUUAGUAUGGGGGAACUGAGGGUUACAGAGGAGGGAUAGGUGGCAUAAAAGGGAAGAAGGAGGAUGGCACCGGAGGCAGAGCCAGGGGAAAGGAAUAAGAUGACACUGGAGGCGGUAUCUGUGAUGCAGAAGCCAGGGAAGAGGAACAUGAGGCUUUUGCAGCCAUUCUAUCUUUCUUUGUUUGCCUCAGAGGAUCUUAAAAUCUUAUUUUGCAGAGAUGCAAUUUUAGGCUCCUGAUAAUGUUUGGAAGCCUCAAAAUAAUUGAAAUAGGCAUUCCAUUCAGUUUUGGAAAUUUUACAGGUGUGGUUGUCAAUUUGGUCUUAAGAAAAGUAAGUUUGGAAUUUCAGUAGUUCUCCAUAAUGACCAUUCAUGUUCUAAAUUGCCUUUGGUUAGGCUGGUCCAUUUACUUAGAAAUGUACAUGAGGAAGGAGUGCGGUUUUUUGUUUUUGUUUUUUUUCCGGUACGCGGGCCUCUCACUGUUGUGGCCUCUCCCAUUGCAGAGCACAUACUCUGGACGCGCAGGCUCAGUGGCCAUGGCUCACGGGCCCAGCCACUCCGCGGCAUGUGGGACCUUCUCAGACUGGGGCACGAACCCGUGUCCCCUGCAUCGGCAGGCCACUGUGCCACCAGGGAGUUCCAGGACUGCAGUUUUUAAACAUAAAAUCAGCCAGGUUCCCUGUAGGUAAGGGUGCCCUCAAGUAUUUAGAUAAUUGGGAUCCCAUUUCUCAGAGGUUUUUCUUUAGAGUAAAAUAGUAAUUUUCAAACAGCCUAAACAGCUUAAACAGGCUCAAACAGCCUGCAGGACUACUACCAGCCAGUUCUAAGGGAACAAUCUAAUCUCAAAGGAGCCAGGCCACAGGCUGCUCAGCACAGCUCUAAUGGAGCACCCUAAUCCUGAAGGAAUCGGGCUGAAGGCUGAAUAGCACAGUUCCAAUGAAACAACUCCUGUUCCAAAAGAAAUCAAGCUGAAGGCUACCACAGUUCCAGUUGGAAUAGCCUGAUU
ensembl:lncRNA